AGACGGGGAGCACACAACAGGUGGAGCCUGCGGUUUAAUCGGACUCAACGCCGGGAAACUCACCAGAUAAGACAGCUGAAUGAUAGUCGGGCUGAAGACUCUACUUGACUAGCUGAGAGGAGGUGCAUGGCCGUCGUCAGUUCGUACUGUAAGCAUCCUGUUAAGUCAGGCAACGAGCGAGACCCACGCCAACAGUUGCCAGCUCGUCCUCCGGGAUGGUGGGGACACUGUUGGGACCGCCUCUGCUAAAGAGGAGGAAGGAAUGGGCAACGGUAGGUCAGCAUGCCCCGAAUUAUCUGGGCUACACGCGGGCUACAAUGGGUGGGACAAUGGGUAUCGACACCGAAAGGUGAAGGCAAUCUCCUAAACCCAUCCGUAGUUCGGAUUGUGGGCUGCAACUCGCCCACAUGAAGCUGGAAUCUGUAGUAAUCGUGUCUCAAAAUGGCACGGUGAAUAUGUCCCUGCUCCUU
rnacentral:rRNA from 1 species